UGAUACUUGUGAUAUCUAAAAAUGUUAGUUGGGUCUGUUUAAAAUGCAGUAACCCACAUGUGAGACAAGCUAAUCGCUAGCGUCGCUAACGGCUACAGUGAGUCAACCGAGCCUUUGUCCCUUUCAAAUGUGCUACUCUGAGUUGGUGCAAUCACACACCUGUGUGGGGAACAGCUAAUAGCGAUGGGCCUUCGAUCGGCGACAGGCAGGAAGCGGUGGAUCGAGCUUUUGUCCUGUUGACGUGCUGCCGCUCCUGUUUGUGUUGCGUUAGCCGUUAGCAUGCCUUUAGGCCUUUGCACUUUAGAGCUACAGCUGGUCGAUCGCUACAAAAAGAACCUGCAGAUGAACGCGGUUAUGUUUGUUACCCCGUCCUGUGUCACAGCCUAAAUCAACUUGUGAUUUGGGGUUAUGUCAUUGUUCUAUCAAAUUCUAACAUGAUUAGUUGGAAUGAUUACUGUGUUGUGUUUCAAGCUUAGUUGCUAAUUAGUCACAUCUCUACAAUACCUGCUGCUUAUCUGGUCAGUUACCUAUAGCUUGUACCAUAGCCAUUAUAUUUGUAGGACCAAUACAAUUUACAGUAAAUGUAACAGUCUUUUCUAUACUGUAGGAGGGCAAAUCCCAGUUGCCCACAUGCAAGGAGGCUGUCAAACAGAGAAAUCACUGCAGACUGUUGGUACACGGACAUCUGCUGCCCAGCUCAGGAGUAAAGUACCUUUUGUUUUGAUGAGGUGAUGGUGAGGACAGCCACAGCUUCCAUCUGGUAGAGGACUGCUUCCGCUCAGUCUUCCAAAUAGUGAUGAGAACAAGGAUCACCACAUCUCCCUGUUUACCCUACUUUCAUGCAUUUCGUCUGCAGGGCCCUGCAAAAGCUUCUGACCUCAAACCCCCAGACCUCUUAAUUAACUCAGUAACCUAUACAUUGCACAUUGGAGUGUGAAGGUAACAGUUUGUUCUAGCUUUGGAGUAGUGGUGUAUUUUUUUGGUUUACAAUAAAGUUGGCUUUAACUAUUA